CAACACAUGGUUGUUUAUUUUAACGACCUUCUGCUUGUGAGUGUUAGUGAUCCAAGUAGGCCUGAAAUAAUUUCUGAGUUUUCAACGGCCAUUUUGCCACCAGUUUUCUCAGCAGCAGCAUCGUGAUGGAGUUAACGGAAAAACCAAUUAAGUCCCUAGAGCAGGCAAAAAGUGAUGGUGGUGGAGGGCUUGCUGAAGAAUUCCUCCCUUUGCGUCCAUCAGGUGUAGACGAGCAGCUGAAGAUGGAUCGCAUCAAUUGCCGCUAGGAUCUGUUCCGCUGAGUACCUGAAGCGCCAUGAAAAAAGCUAAAAGAUUCCGGAGGGGUGCACCCUGCAGUUCGGAUAUCAUCAAUUCCUCGCUAGUGGUGAUAAAAAAUGUGUGGUGUUAAUGCAAAUGUGAAUUUUAAAAUAUAUAUUUUUAAUUAUAAAACAGCGUGAAAGAAAAUUAGGAUUGUUAAAAAAUAAUAAAUAAAAAUAAUAAAAAUUAGAGAAAAUUAA